rnacentral:rRNA from 1 species
CUUUACUGCAACUUGGCAGUGAUUUUCGGGAUGUUCUGCGUAGGAUAGGUGGGAGGCUAUGAGGCCGGGCUUCUGGGUUCGGCGGAGCCAACGUUGAAAUACCACCCUGAAUAUUCUGGAAAUCUAACCUGGACCCAUGAGCUGGGUCGGGGACACUGCCUGGCGGGCAGUUUGACUGGGGCGGUCGCCUCCCAAAAAGUAACGGAGGCGUGCGAAGGUCCCCUCAGCCUGAUUGGAAACCAGGCGUAGAGUGCAAUCGCAUAAGGGGGCUUAACUGUGAGACCGACAGGUCGAACAGGUGCGAAAGCAGGCGAUAGUGAUCCGGUGGUUCUGCAUGGAAGGGCCAUCGCUUAUCGGAUAAAAGGUA